rnacentral:lncRNA from 1 species
UCGGCACAUGGCACUUGUUCCCUGAGUAUUUGUUCAAUCAGGAAAAAACAAAACCUGAUACAACGUAACUAUUCACCCUUAGUGGAAAAUAUCCAAUGGAUUUUUCAAAAUUGCUAAGAAAUAUAUGAUUUUAUUCAGAAAUCCUAUUGUUAUAAUAAUAAUGCUGCUAUUUAAAGACAUUAUAAUAGUAAUAAUGUUGAUGCUCUUAGGAGCCAAGAUUUUUUUUUUCUGUGCUGGAGUUUAAAACUAGGGCUUUGUGCAUCCCAGGCAAGCUUGGAUCCAAGAGUUUUUCAGUGUAAAUGAAAAGGCAUGCAUUUUGAAAAUCAGAGAAAUUAAGUUAGAUCUGUAUUACCUAAAAUGUGAAUUCAAAAUGUCAGUAUGAAUUUCUAAUGCAUUUUUCUCUUAAAAACAUUUAUGAGUUUUCUCCUAUACAUCAACAAUGCCUGGAAGCAAUGGCCAAUUGGCUUUUAUUAAAUUUUAUUAUUAAAUUAAAUUGAUUUUAUUAAAUAGUAAUGAACAGAUUUAGCACUCAGAUUGCAUUCCCUAAAAAACUAUAUUUUUAUUAAAGGCUCCAUUGGGGAAUGGCUGAUUCCAGCUUUUAGAUAGCAAAUGUGCAAGAGGAGCUUAGAAUACGUCACUGUGGUAGAAAUAGGGUAGCUGUCCUGUCAAGAUCAUAAAUCAGCUUGAAAGGCUCUUACUAGCCACAGAGGGGACAAUAUAAGAAAGAACGAUGACUUCAAUGGAAUGAUAUAUAG